rnacentral:lncRNA from 1 species
UCAAACAUUUGGUGAUAAAAUAUAGUGCACAUAUACAGUUAGCCACUUAGCUUUGACUCUCAUAAACAAAUUUAGGUUUAUGCAAGUGUCCGAGCAUUCAACCUCACAGAAAUGACAAUUUGAGGGCCAUCCUCUCAGAAACACAACCAACCGGUCUAUUGUACAAUUAAUCCAUGUAUUUCCUGCUGUCGUUUAUCCUCUUCCACAAAUGCAAAACGUUCCUAUCAGUUGACGUCAUCCGAAACCAAUACAGUGUGUACACCUGGAUCCGCCUGCAGUUUCCUACUUGGGUCAGUUUUCAACUAGUUCAGGUCAGCAUCGAGCAUAGUAUAUGCGUGUCAUCAUCUAGCUAAACUGCGGGGAGCAAAAGCAGAAUUAAAGCUACCAACCUUGUACCCCUACCUCCUCCCUACGCCUCCACAGCCAAAAGAGCUCCCUGAGGAGGAGAAGAAUGGCUGCGCUGCUCUAUCUUG